GUAUAAUUUUUUUUUAUUAGUUAUGAGAAAGACAUAUCAACGUCCACACCAUCGAAAAGUGGAUUUACAAUGGCACCACCACCUGUAUCCACUAUUGUCUCGGAGUCGCUUUCUGACCGAGAUGAUGACUUCUCAGUCCCUGGAGUUGAAGAGUUGGAUAGUAGCAGCGUACAGGAUAAAAACAUUCAGGAAUUAGAUGCAAGGACAUGUGGGUGGGAGUCCUGCACCAUGUCACAGGAGAACACACGUGGGCUCUUGGUGAGUGUAAACAUGGCCCCUUGCUGGACGACAGAGAUAAAGAAUUGAUUGAGAGUGGUUCAGUGGCACAUGAGAGGCUGGCUGAAAUUAUUCUCGAUGAACGCUGGCUGAAGGUCGUCCCCAAGUAUCUGAAUUUCAGGUCAACUGCAGAUUUGGAGUCGUUUCACAACCACAUACUGAUGUAUGCCAGCAAGCGCUUCAGCUUUUCCCCACCAGUUUAUGCUGCUCGUACCAUGCUGGCUGGCCUCGAUUACAACCAUCUUCUCCAUAGACCAGCCAGGAGAAAAGCUGAUGGCACAAUUCAGUAUGGCAAGGUGUACAACAAAAAGUCCAGGAAGUGGAGGUUAUACUCAUUGAAGGUGGAGAAGGACUACAGCUACAUCUCUGACCUACAGCGUGCCAUCCUCCUUCGACGGAUAUCAGCUAAUAAGGGGAUUCCUAGAAGCAGAACCAGGAUACCUGAUGAUCCCCGUCAACAUGGCGUACUGUCUGGUGCACCUGCUCCAUCAACACAGGAGCUAUUGCAAAUUCAAGUCAGCAGAGGGUUAGGUGAGUUCUUUAAAUACUGGUACCUCUAGUAGUACCAGCUAUUUUAUGAGCUAUAUGGAUUUAUUGAAAAAAAAAUUUAAUGUGAAUUUAAAUUUCAACAAUACAUAUUACACAAUUUUAACUGUAACAAAUCAAACUCAUAAACUGUUAUUAUAAUCUAAAGUGGUUAUAUAAAAGUCAUGAUACAAUCCAAAUAUCACGUGGGUGACUUUAUCAUCCAAGACAAAUGUAGUAGUAAAUAUGAUUUUGGCACACUAAGUAAAAAAAAAAAAAGGUGUAUAAUAACGAUCAUUUAUGGCCAAGAUAAACACACAAUCAAAUAAAACUCUUCUCCCAUAAUAGAUUAUAUAUAUA
ensembl:lncRNA